rnacentral:rRNA from 1 species
AGAAUCAACGCUGGCGGCGUGCCUAACACAUGCAAGUCGAACGCGAAAGUCCCGAAAGGGGCAAGUAGAGUGGCAAACGGGUGAGUAACGCGUGGGUGACCUGCCUUCGAGCGGGGGAUAACGUUUCGAAAGGAACGCUAAUACCGCAUAACAUCCUGCCUUUGAAUAGGUGGAGAUCAAAGCUGGGGAUUCACAAGAACCCGGCACUUGAAGAGGGGCCCGCGUCUGAUUAGCUAGUUGGUGAGGUAACGGCUCACCAAGGCAACGAUCAGUA